CCACACGUAAAUCUCUCCCCCUAAUCUCUCCCGAUUCCAGUCCCGGCCCGUCUCCUCCACCUCCGCUCAGAUCCCCUUCACCCCUCACCACGCACGCAGCUUCCUCCAGCUCUCCACGUGGUCUCCACCGCCUGCGGUGGGCUCUGACGGCCUGACGGCGUUCGCGCUUCGCCUGGCAAAAAAGCUGCCUGCGGGCGACGGCGUCGUUGCCUUCUCGCCGUUGUCAAUCUACACGACGGCGAGCCCGCCCUGGUGGUCACCAGAGCACGCGGCAAAACCCUGGAAGAGCUCUUGGCCCUGCUUGGCACCUCGUCCCCCGACGAGGUCGCCGGGUUCGUGAGGGGCCUCGCCUCUGAUCCAUCCAGCUCCGGCGGGCCGCACAUCACCUACGCCUGCGGAGGGUUACACAAGGAGAAGAUGGAACUCACGCCAGCCUACCUGCACAACGCCGCAGUCCUAUAAGGCCGAGAUACGUACAAUCGACUUUGACGAGGUGAUCAAACAAUCUGUGAGUUCGGAUCGGCGCCACCCUUGAUGACGUGGUGGCCAUAGCCUCAAGCUGUAUGUGUGACAUUUACGGUGGUGUGGAAGUCACAAAGGAGCAUGUGGCUGUGCCAUGCCCAGCGAGGAGAUCGUCGGUGGAUAAGAUUAGAGGCUGGUGACAAAUUUCCCGGAGAAGAGAAAAUGUGCUAGUAUAGUAGUAGCAUCUCGCUCAAGUUUAAGAAAAAAAAUGAUUUCUUUGGAUGCAAAUUAUAUUUUCUUCGGAAGCAGAUUCUACUAUAUCAAGAAGCAACGUCUGAUUGACGGAAACAUUCUUUUUUCUGCUGGGACCAAUUCCAUGUUACACUUGAAACAAUUUGUUGGUCACUGUAUUGUCUAUGCAUAGCAAACAAAAUAUACUAAUAUAAAUUUUCACUAGAUUGAAGCAAU
rnacentral:rRNA from 1 species